GACGAACGCUGGCGGCGUGCUUAACACAUGCCAGUCGAACGGAAAGGCCCUGCUUUUGUGGGGUGCUCGAGUGGCGAACGGGUGAGUAACACGUGAGUAACCUGCCCUUGACUUUGGGAUAACUUCAGGAAACUGGGGCUAAUACCGGAUAGGAGCUCCUGCUGCAUGGUGGGGGUUGGAAAGUUUCGGCGGUUGGGGAUGGACUCGCGGCUUAUCAGCUUGUUGGUGGGGUAGUGGCUUACCAAGGCUUUGACGGGUAGCCGGCCUGAGAGGGUGACCGGCCACAUGGGGACUGAGAUACGGCCCAGACUCCUACGGGGGGCAGCAGUGGGGAAUAUUGCACAAUGGGCGGAAGCCUGAUGCAGCAACGCCGCGUGCGGGAUGACGGCCUUCGGGUUGUAAACCGCUUUCGCCUGUGACGAAGCGUGAGUGACGGUAAUGGGUAAAGAAGCACCGGCUAACUACGUG
rnacentral:rRNA from 1 species